rnacentral:rRNA from 1 species
CUUGACUGUAGCCUGGAAUUGGGUUCGGGCUUUUCUUGCGCAGCCUAGGUGGGAGGCUAUGAAGAUUUCCUUCCGGGGAAGUUGGAGCCAACAGUGAGAGACCACUCUGGAAAGGCUAGAAUCCUCAUGGUGAUCCUUGAAUCAGGACACUUGACAGUUUCAGGCGGGCAGUUUCUCUAGGGCGGAGGCCUCAUAAAAGGUAACUGAGGUGCGCAAAGGUUCCCUCAGUCUGGACGGAAAUCAGACAUUGAGUGUAAAGGCAAAAGGGAGCUUGACUGCAAGACCCACAAGUCGAGCAGGAGCGAAAGCUGGCCUUAGUGAUCCGACGGUGCCGUGCGGAAGGGCCGUCGCUCAACGAAUAAAAGUUA